UCCAGGGUAGCCUAGUAGACAUGGCAUCUGCCCGGUAAGCGGAAGGUUGUGGGUUCGAUUCCCGCCCCUGGAC
rnacentral:tRNA from 1 species